AUUAAUUCGAUGCAAACGCGUAAAACCUUACCUACCCUUGACAUGUCCGGAAUCCCGAAGAGAUUUGGGAGUGCUCGCAAGAGAACCGGAACACAGGUGCUGCAUGGCUGUCGUCAGCUCGUGUCGUGAGAUGUUGGGUUAAGUCCCGCAACGAGCGCAACCCUUGUCAUUAGUUGCCAUCAUUUGGUUGGGCACUCUAAUGAGACUGCCGGUGACAAACCGGAGGAAGGUGGGGAUGACGUCAAGUCCUCAUGGCCCUUAUGGGUAGGGCUUCACACGUCAUACAAUGGUCGGUACAGAGGGUUGCCAACCCGCGAGGGGGAGCUAAUCCCACAAAGCCGAUCGUAGUCCGGAUUGUUCUCUGCAACUCGAGAGCAUGAAGUCGGAAUCGCUAGUAAUCGCGGAUCAGCAUGUCGCGGUGAAUACGUUCCCGGGCCUU
rnacentral:rRNA from 1 species